rnacentral:rRNA from 2 species
GAAACUGGGAAACUUGAGUGCAGAAGAGGACAGUGGAACUCCAUGUGUAGCGGUGAAAUGCGUAGAUAUAUGGAAGAACACCAGUGGCGAAGGCGGCUGUCUGGUCUGUAACUGACGCUGAGGCUCGAAAGCAUGGGUAGCGAACAGGAUUAGAUACCCUGGUAGUCCAUGCCGUAAACGAUGAAUGCUAGGUGUUGGAGGGUUUCCGCCCUUCAGUGCCGCAGCUAACGCAUUAAGCAUUCCGCCUGGGGAGUACGACCGCAAGGUUGAAACUCAAAGGAAUUGACGGGGGCCCGCACAAGCGGUGGAGCAUGUGGUUUAAUUCGAAGCAACGCGAAGAACCUUACCAGGUCUUGACAUCUUUUGAUCACCUGAGAGAUCAGGUUUCCCCUUCGGGGGCAAAAUGACAGGUGGUGCAUGGUUGUCGUCAGCUCGUGUCGUGAGAUGUUGGGUUAAGUCCCGCAACGAGCGCAACCCUUAUGACUAGUUGCCAGCAUUUAGUUGGGCACUCUAGUAAGACUGCCGGUGACAAACCGGAGGAAGGUGGGGAUGACGUCAAAUCAUCAUGCCCCUUAUGACCUGGGCUACACACGUGCUACAAUGGAUGGUACAACGAGUUGCGAGACCGCGAGGUCAAGCUAAUCUCUUAAAGCCAUUCUCAGUUCGGACUGUAGGCUGCAACUCGCCUACACGAAGUCGGAAUCGCUAGUAAUCGCGGAUCAGCACGCCGCGGUGAAUACGUUCCCGGCCCUUGUA